GUGUUUGUAGUGCAGCGGUUCAGCACGUACUCCCGAAAAGAGUGAGAUCUGGGUUUGAAUUCCAGCCGACGCA